GGAGUUGUUGGCGUAGCGCGCAGAGCCUCGGCUUGCUAAGCCGAAGGUCCCGGGUUCGAUUCCCGUUGGGUCCC
rfam:Habropoda laboriosa contig16120, whole genome shotgun sequence.